GCCACGCUGCGGUUGAUCUCUGUCUCCUCGAGGAAGCCGCUGUGGCACUGCAGGCACUUCAUCUCUGGCUCGCCCUCCGCGGGCCUCACCGCCACGGCGCACAUGUGGCGCCAGUACCUCCCGGCGCCCUCGUGCUCCGCCAUUGCUGUUGAGCUUGGAGAGAGAGAGAUUGGAGAGGGAGAGAGAGGAGCAAAUGGGAAGAAUAUAAGAGAAUGUAAGGGGAUUUUUUAAAUAUUUGCUAGCGUGGCACCACGUGGCAUACCACGUCAGCAUCGGAUGCUUGCGUGGUGUGUUUAGGAUCUCGGAUGAACCACUUAACAUGGUUUAGCGGUUUAGGGAUUUAAAUGCAUAAUUUGAGAGUUUAGGGAUCCAAAUUCGAAGAUCUGGAGUGCAAUUUACUUAAAAAGCAUCUCGGCGAGAGGUUGGGUGCUACAAUCCCUUAAUCAAUCACUAACCCU
rnacentral:lncRNA from 1 species